rnacentral:rRNA from 1 species
CCUACGGGAGGCAGCAGUAAGGAAUAUUGGUCAAUGGACGAAAGUCUGAACCAGCCAUGCCGCGUGAAGGAUGAAGGUCCUCUGGAUUGUAAACUUCUUUUAUCUGGGACGAAAAAAGGGCAUUCUUGCUCACUUGACGGUACCAGAGGAAUAAGCACCGGCUAACUCCGUGCCAGCAGCCGCGGUAAUACGGAGGGUGCAAGCGUUAUCCGGAUUCACUGGGUUUAAAGGGUGCGUAGGUGGGUUGGUAAGUCAGUGGUGAAAUCUCCGAGCUUAACUCGGAAACUGCCAUUGAUACUAUCAGUCUUGAAUUUUCUGGAGGUAAGCGGAAUAUGUCAUGUAGCGGUGAAAUGCUUAGAUAUGACAUAGAACACCCAUUGCGAAGGCAGCUUACUACGGGAUAAUUGACACUGAGGCACGAAAGCGUGGGGAUCAAACAGGAUUAGAUACCCUGGUAGUCCACGCCCUAAACGAUGGAUACUCGACAUCAGCGAUACACUGUUGGUGUCUGAGCGAAAGCAUUAAGUAUCCCACCUGGGAAGUACGACCGCAAGGUUGAAACUUAAGGAAUUGACGGCNGAGAGAGACGAGACGACGACGAGGGAGGAGG